UGCCUUGUACUGGGGGACAACAGUUGGAAACGACUGCUAAUACCGCAUAAGCGCACAGCUUCGCAUGAAGCAGUGCGAAAAACUCCGGUGGUACAAGAUGGACCCGCGUCUGAUUAGCUGGUUGGUGAGGUAACGGCCCACCAAGGCAACGAUCAGUAGCCGGCCUGAGAGGGUGAACGGCCACAUUGGGACUGAGACACGGCCCAAACUCCUACGGGAGGCAGCAGUGGGGAAUAUUGCACAAUGGGGGAAACCCUGAUGCAGCAACGCCGCGUGAGUGAAGAAGUAUUUCGGUAUGUAAAGCUCUAUCAGCAGGAAAGAAAAUGACGGUACCUGACUAAGAAGCCCCGGCUAACUACGUGCCAGCAGCCGCGGUAAUACGUAGGGGGCAAGCGUUAUCCGGAUUUACUGGGUGUAAAGGGAGCGUAGACGGUUUUGCAAGUCUGAAGUGAAAGCCCGGGGCUUAACCCCGGGACUGCUUUGGAAACUGUAGGACUAGAGUGCAGGAGAGGUAAGUGGAAUUCCUAGUGUAGCGGUGAAAUGCGUAGAUAUUAGGAGGAACACCAGUGGCGAAGGCGGCUUACUGGACUGUAACUGACGUUGAGGCUCGAAAGCGUGGGGAGCAAACAGGAUUAGAUACCCUGGUAGUCCACGCCGUAAACGAUGA
rnacentral:rRNA from 1 species